rnacentral:rRNA from 1 species
GACGAACGCUGGCGGCGUGCUUAACACAUGCAAGUCGAAUGGAAAGGCCUGCUUUCCCUUGUGGAUUGCGGGUACUCGAGUGGCGAACGGGUGAGUAACACGUGAGUGAUCUGCCCCCAACUUGGGUAUAAGCCUGGGAAACUGGGUCUAAUUCCCGAUAGGACUGCAGGGUGGUGCCUGUGGUGGAAAACGAUUUUCUAGUGGUUGGGGAUGAGCUCGCGGCCUAUCAGCUUGUUGGUGGGGUAAUGGCCUACCAAGGCGGCGACGGGUAGCCGGCCUGAGAGGGUGGACGGCCACAGUGGGACUGAGAUACGGCCCAGACUCCUACGGGAGGCAGCAGUGGGGAAUAUUGCACAAUGGGCGGAAGCCUGAUGCAGCGACGCCGCGUGGGGGAUGACGGCCUUCGGGUUGUAAACUCCUUUCGACCGCGAGGAAGCCACCUGGUUGGAAGGGUGGUGACGGUAGUGGUAGAAGAAGCACCGGCUAACUACGUG